rnacentral:sRNA from 1 species
UUUUGUUUUCUUUCUUCUUUU